UGUAAAUAUGGGUUCAUUUUGCGCCGGCUUUUGUAGGAAUGGAACUGCGGCAUAAACCGAGGGCUACCUGUACAUGGAUUAGAAAUUUAAUAUUGACCACAGCAAUGCUGGGAAUGAUGACAUGUGAUCCUGAUUGUAUUAGUACAUAUAAGAUUGAACCUUCUCCUCCCAUCACUGUAAAAGAUAUUGCCUUUCCAUGUGCUACACUUUCACAUUAACAUCAUACAUGUCUGUGUGGGACAGAAGAUCAGCAGAGAAGAAUGCUUUUCCAAGUUGGAGAAGCAUUCUUAGCUUGAAAUUGUGAGAAGCCAUACCACAAAGAUUUGUUAUCAGAGGUUGUAGAGGCUUAUGAAAAUUCAUUAUCAUACAAUAUGGUAAGGAAGUGAGUAAAUACAUUCAAGUGAGAACGUGAACAAUGAGCGUAGGCUUGGGUGUUCCCCAUUUCGGAUGGACAAAUACUCAACGGACAAAUUGUAAAUGCUGUAUACUACACACAUUUCUUGUAACACAUCCUGCAUGAAGUCCUAUAGAGAAAAUGGCAUCACUUUUCUGACCACUCUUACCAUUAUCUUCCAUGACAACACUCAUUAUCUUGAGGCUAGUGUUGCCUGCGAAUUGCUUACAAGAUGGGAUUGUGAAGUGGUAGAGAUUAUAUUCAGGAACUGUAAAAGUGAAUCUGUGCUAUGCCUUUCCUGUGAUAAUCUGUAUCAUUGUGAUCAC
rnacentral:lncRNA from 1 species